GUCAAAUCAGGGUAAGGGAUAUUUCCUCCAUCUAGACUUGCUUUUGUAGGAUCUAAAUAAUUUACAAAAAAAUGUAAAGAAAGAAAAUAACUAUAAAUAUAUAUAUAGGUACAAAUAUAUACAUGUAACAUGUAUAUGUACGUACAGAUAUAUAUUGUUCAUUUGUCAGACACCACUAAUUUAAUAAUUAUUUGUCAUGCAAUAAUUAUGAUUUUAAUUCAUUAAUGAUAUAGGCUCGACACUUGA
rnacentral:lncRNA from 1 species